rnacentral:rRNA from 1 species
UAUCCAGACUCCUACGGGAGGCAGCAGUGGGGAAUAUUGCACAAUGGGGGAAACCCUGAUGCAGCGACGCCGCGUGAGUGAAGAAGUAAUUCGUUAUGUAAAGCUCUAUCAGCAGGGAAGAAAAUGACGGUACCUGACUAAGAAGCCCCGGCUAACUACGUGCCAGCAGCCGCGGUAAUACGUAGGGGGCAAGCGUUAUCCGGAUUUACUGGGUGUAAAGGGAGCGUAGACGGCCAUGCAAGCCAGGGGUGAAAGCCCGGGGCCCAACCCCGGGACUGCCCUUGGAACUGUGCGGCUAGAGUGCGGGAGGGGCAGGCGGAAUUCCUGGUGUAGCGGUGAAAUGCGUAGAUAUUAGGAGGAACACCAGUGGCGAAGGCGGCCUGCUGGACGACAACUGACGGUGAGGCGCGAAAGCGUGGGGAGCAAACAGGAUUAGAUACCCUAGUA